rnacentral:rRNA from 1 species
UUAGACAGCUGGCGGCAUGCCUUACACAUGCAAGUCGAACGGCAGCACGGACUUCGGUCUGGUGGCGAGUGGCGAACGGGUGAGUAAUACAUCGGAACGUGUCCUGGAGUGGGGGAUAGCCCGGCGAAAGCCGGAUUAAUACCGCAUACGCUCUGUGGAGGAAAGGGGGGGAUCUUUCGGGACCUCCCGCUCAAGGGGCGGCCGAUGGCAGAUUAGCUAGUUGGUGGGGUAAAGGCCUACCAAGGCGACGAUCUGUAGCUGGUCUGAGAGGACGACCAGCCACACUGGGACUGAGACACGGCCCAGACUCCUACGGGAGGCAGCAGUGGGGAAUUUUGGACAAUGGGCGCAAGCCUGAUCCAGCAAUGCCGCGUGUGUGAAGAAGGCCUUCGGGUUGUAAAGCACUUUUGUCCGGAAAGAAAUCCUUUGGGCUAAUACCCUGGGGGGAUGACGGUACCGGAAGAAUAAGCACCGGCUAACUACGUGCCAGCAGCCGCGGUAAUACGUAGGGUGCAAGCGUUAAUCGGAAUUACUGGGCGUAAGGCGUGCGCAGGCGGUUCGCUAAGACAGAUGUGAAAUCCCCGGGCUUAACCUGGGAACUGCAUUUGUGACUGGCGGGCUAGAGUAUGGCAGAGGGGGGUAGAAUUCCACGUGUA